GACGAACCGUGCGAACGUUAUUCGGAAUCACUGGGCUUAAAGCGCGUGUAGGCGGGCCGCCGCGUCGGCUGCUGAAAUCCCCCGGCUCAACCGGGGAAGGGGCACCGAUACGGGCGGCCUGGAGGGGGGUAGGGGGGCCUGGAACUUCCGGUGGAGCGGUGAAAUGCGUUGAGAUCGGAAGGAACGCCCGUGGCGAAAGCGAGGCCCUGGACCCUUACUGACGCUGAGACGCGAAAGCCAGGGGAGCGAACGGG
rnacentral:rRNA from 1 species